rnacentral:lncRNA from 1 species
AUGAAAUGUCAAACUGAUUAUAAUGCUAAAUUAUACUAUUACUAACCAUUAACAUUUACUACAAUAAGAUUCAGUGCUUUAGGUUCUAUAAAGGCAAAAUAUACCAAUUCAUAAAAGCAUUCAAAAUCAUUUAGUAGCAAGUUAUUAGCAACCAUAAAAAUCAUUUCGUCUACUGAAUAAAUUGCAUAAAACAAAUCUUAAUUACAAAUGAUUUUACAUGAACAUAUAAAAGAAAACUGAAAAAUAAGUCAAUAAGUAAUACUUACCACCCAUGAAGCAAUUCUAUUGAUGACCAAAUUUUGCAAACAGCUCCACAAGAGACCAAGACUCCAACUGCAAGAGGAGUAUCAAGAGUGCUCUGAUAGAGAAACAAAAAAAAUCAGAAUAAAUAGGGGCAACUUUACAAUACAAUCAAAUAAAUAAAUAAACAAAAGGAUUUGUACCACACUGUGCAAUUUCAUAAGAAAUAUUACCAAGCUAUGCCACUUUCAGAAUAGUUAUGAAUAUAUGUCUUUUUAAAUUAAAUUAAUGCAGACAUUUUUUAAAAAGGAUGACUAUUUCUACAAUUUACAUUGUAAUUUUUUUUCUUUCAAAAUACUUGAUUCAUUACUCUGUUGUGAUCUAUAGUUAAUUCUAUUAUGAUCCAAGUGACCUAGCAAUACAUGACACAUACGACAGAACU